rnacentral:tRNA from 1 species
GCAGUCGAGGCCGAGUGGUUAAGGCGAUGGACUCGAAAUCCAUUGGGGUCUCCCCGCACAGGUUCGAAUCCUGUCGGCUGCG